UUAUCGUUAGUUGCCAUCUGGUAAUGCAGGGGACUCUAGCGAAACUGCCACCGUAAGGUGAGAGGAAGUGGGGAUGACGUCAAAUCAGCACGGCCCUUAUGUCCAGGGCUACACACGUGUUACAAUGGUCGGUACAGAGGGCAGCUACCUGGUGACAGGAUGCUAAUCUCGAAAACCGGUCUCAGUUCGGAUCGAAGUCUGCAACUCGACUUCGUGAAGCUGGAUUCGCUAGUAAUCGCGCAUCAGCUAUGGCGCGGUGAAUACGUUCCCGGGCCUU
rnacentral:rRNA from 1 species